rnacentral:rRNA from 1 species
ACGGGAGGCAGCAGUCGGGAAUAUUGCGCAAUGGAGGAAACUCUGACGCAGUGACGCCGCGUGCAGGAAGAAGGUUUUCGGAUUGUAAACUGCUUUAGACAGGGAAGAAAAGGACAGUACCUGUAGAAUAAGCUCCGGCUAACUACGUGCCAGCAGCCGCGGUAAUACGUAGGGAGCAAGCGUUAUCCGGAUUUAUUGGGUGUAAAGGGUGCGUAGACGGAGUAGCAAGUUAGUUGUGAAAUCCCUCGGCUCAACUGAGGAACUGCAACUAAAACUACUACCCUUGAGUGCUGGAGAGGAAAGUGGAAUUCCUAGUGUAGCGGUGAAAUGCGUAGAUAUUAGGAGGAACACCGGUGGCGAAGGCGACUUUCUGGACAGUAACUGACGUUGAGGCACGAAAGUGUGGGGAGCAAACAGGAUUAGAUACCCUGGUA